AGUGAACGCUGGCGGUAGGCCUAACACAUGCAAGUCGAACGGCAGCACAGGAGAGCUUGCUCUCUGGGUGGCGAGUGGCGGACGGGUGAGGAAUACAUCGGAAUCUACUUUUUCGUGGGGGAUAACGUAGGGAAACUUACGCUAAUACCGCAUACGACCUACGGGUGAAAGCAGGGGAUCUUCGGACCUCGCGCGAUUGAAUGAGCCGAUGUCGGAUUAGCUAGUUGGCGGGGUAAAGGCCCACCAAGGCGACGAUCCGUAGCUGGUAUGAGGGGAUGAUCAGCGACACUGGAACUGAGACACGGUCCAGACUCCUACGGGAGGCAGCAGUGGGGAAUAUUGGACAAUGGGCGCAAGCCUGAUCCAGCCAUACCGCGUGGGUGAAGAAGGCCUUCGGGUUGUAAAGCCCUUUUGUUGGGAAAGAAAUCCAGCUGGUUAAUACCCGGUUGGGAUGACGGUACCCAAAGAAUAAGCACCGGCUAACUUCGUGCCAGCCGCCGCCGUAA
rnacentral:rRNA from 1 species